GAUGAACGCUAGCGGCAGGCUUAAUACAUGCAAGUCGAGGGGCAGCAGCUCUGUAGCAAUACAGAGGCUGACGACCGGCAAACGGGUGCGGAACACGUACACAACCUUCCUUUAAGCGGGGACUAGCCCGGGGAAACCCGGAUUAAUACCCCAUAGUAUAUUGAAGAGGCAUCUCUUUACUAUUAAAGAUUUAUCACUUGAAGAUGGGUGUGCGGCUGAUUAGCUAGUUGGCGGGGUAACGGACCACCAAGGCAACGAUCAGUAACUGGUGUGAGAGCACGACCAGUCACACGGGCACUGAGACACGGGCCCGACUCCUACGGGAGGCAGCAGUAAGGAAUAUUGGUCAAUGGACGAAAGUCUGAACCAGCCAUGCCGCGUGGAGGAUGAAGGUCCGCUGGAUUGUAAACUUCUUUUAUAUGUGACGAAAAUAGGCUUUUCUAAGUCGUCUGACGGUACCAUAUGAAUAAGCACCGGCUAACUCCGUGCCAGCCGCCGCAGUAACAC
rnacentral:rRNA from 1 species